GAUGAACGCUAGCGGCAGGCCUAACACAUGCAAGUCGAGGGAUAAGCCCUUCGGGGUGGAAACCGGCGCACGGGUGCGUAACGCGUAUGCAACCUACCUUUCACAGGGGGAUAGCCCGAAGAAAUUUGGAUUAAUACCCCAUAAUAUUGUUGGAUGGCAUCAUCUGAUAAUUAAAGUUACGAUGGUGAAAGAUGGGCAUGCGUCCUAUUAGCUAGUUGGAGUGGUAACGGCACCCCAAGGCUACGAUAGGUAGGGGUCCUGAGAGGGAGAUCCCCCACACUGGUACUGAGACAGGGAUCAGACUCCUACGGGAGGCAGCAGUGAGGAAUAUUGGUCAAUGGUCGAAAGACUGAACCAGCCAUGCCGCGUGCAGGACAGACGGCCCUAGAGGUUGUAAAACUGCUUUUAUAUGGAAGAAUAAAGG
rnacentral:rRNA from 1 species